GGAGAAAUGGCCGAGAGGCCGAAGGCGGCGGUUUGCUAAACCGUUAUACGGGUAAUACCGUAUCGAGGGUUCGAAUCCCUCUUUCUCCACCA
rnacentral:tRNA from 1 species